rnacentral:lncRNA from 1 species
UUAUGACCUCAAAAUUGUUUAGUGGUCAGAAAAAUUGAAUUUUUCUUUGAGGGAAUAUUAUAACUUUAAGGAAUUUCUAUUAGCCGAAUUUUACUAUUUCUUUCCCGUUUUUUAUAAACUGAAUUCUUAUCCUUAGUACAUCUCCCUACGUACAUAAACACACUUAAUUAAUCAUACCAAGUAUGAGAAAUAAGACUGAGGAAAAUCUAGAUUAUUACAGUUUGCCUUCUCAUU